AGGAAGAGAAGCUGACCUUUCUGAUUGUGAAAUACUCCCAGAAGCUCUAGGGGCUGGCUGGGUCACAGAGUUUCCUGAUUGCUGCAGGGGCUCCUUUCACUUUGGGCAUGCUCAUCAUUUCUCCAAGGUCAGAGGUUGGAGCCUUCAAUGUUAGUCAUGGCCUGGAAUCCUUCCAAAAAUGUUCCUUUUUCAUUGUGAAGAUUUUCUUACUGGGAGGGCGACUGGCUGAUGGUAUUCAAUGUCAGCUUCCCGUUCCUGAUGUCCAGGUCCUGAUUGAAAUUCUCAGGGUGAUGGGAGAAUGGUGCUGCUUGGAAUAUCAUGUACUUCAAGGACUUAAAAUUUCAAACAAAACUGCUGGUGAUCCAAAGAGUAAUGAGGAGACAUGCACAAGCAUAAGAAGGCUGGAGUCCUUGAGAGCUGAUAGCAGGUACCAAGCAAAAAACCGACCCUGCAGGAUGGAUGGUAAGGGUACCAAUGGAUCCAAGAAAUGGUUCAAUCUUUCCAAAGCAAAGGAAAGAGAACACACUAUGUAACUAGGUGAUUGCUAGAGUUUUUUUCCAACUUUUUUCUAAGUUUUACCUUCUCAGAAAACUAUAAGCUUUCAAGUGAAAUUAGAUGUAAUUAACAAGGGCUAUAAAUCUCUCAAACCCUUGAAAAUGACAUAAAGUGCUUAAUUAAGUCCUUAAUUAAGAAUCUCCAGAAGUCUUAAUUUACUUACUUGUUCUCUUCUAAUUAAGCCUGCUUUUCCUCAAGCAUCAUUAUUCAAGACAAAUAAAAAAAAGAUGAUUUUUAUUCCA
rnacentral:lncRNA from 1 species